rnacentral:rRNA from 1 species
AGCCAUAGCCAUAUCACCCUGCAGCCCAAGCAAGGCUGAGCCUGGUCAGUACCUGGAUGGCCACUAGGGAACACUAGGUUGCUGUUGGAA